rnacentral:rRNA from 1 species
GGGCGUAAGGGCUCGCAGGCGGUUUCUUAAGUCUGAUGUGAAAGCCCCCGGCUCAACCGGGGAGGGUCAUUGGAAACUGGGAAACUUGAGUGCAGAAGAGGAGAGUGGAAUUCCACGUGUAGCGGUGAAAUGCGUAGAGAUGUGGAGGAACACCAGUGGCGAAGGCGACUCUCUGGUCUGUAACUGACGCUGAGGAGCGAAAGCGUGGGGAGCGAACAGGAUUAGAUACCCUGGUAGUCCACGCCGUAAACGAUGAGUGCUAAGUGUUAGGGGGUUUCCGCCCCUUAGUGCUGCAGCUAACGCAUUAAGCACUCCGCCUGGGGAGUACGGUCGCAAGACUGAAACUCAAAGGAAUUGACGGGGGCCCGCACAAGCGGUGGAGCAUGUGGUUUAAUUCGAAGCAACGCGAAGAACCUUACCAGGUCUUGACAUCCUCUGACAACCCUAGAGAUAGGGCUUUCCCUUCGGGGACAGAGUGACAGGUGGUGCAUGGUUGUCGUCAGCUCGUGUCGUGAGAUGUUGGGUUAAGUCCCGCAACGAGCGCAACCCUUGAUCUUAGUUGCCAGCAUUCAGUUGGGCACUCUAAGGUGACUGCCGGUGACAAACCGGAGGAAGGUGGGGAUGACGUCAAAUCAUCAUGCCCCUUAUGACCUGGGCUACACACGUGCUACAAUGG